CGGCGAGUGAAGCGGCAACAGCUCAAAUUUGAAAGCUGGCUCCUUCGGAGUCCGCAUUGUAAUUUGUAGAGGAUGAUUCGGCGAGGGCUCCCGCCUAAGUCCACUGGAACGUGGCGUCAUAGAGGGUGAGAAUCCCGUAUGCGGUGGGUUGCCUUAGCCAUGUGAAUCUCCUUCGACGAGUCGAGUUGUUUGGGAAUGCAGCUCUAAAUGGGAGGUAAAUUUCUUCUAAAGCUAAAUACCGGCCAGAGACCGAUAGCGCACAAGUAGAGUGAUCGAAAGAUGAAAAGCACUUUGGAAAGAGAGUUAAAAAGUACGUGAAAUUGUUGAAAGGGAAGGGCUUGCAACCAGACUUGUCCGCAGUUGCUCAGCCGGUCUCCUGACCGGCGUACUCUUCUGCGGCCAGGCCAGCAUCAGUUCGGGCGGUCGGAUAAAGACCCGGGGAAUGUAGCUCCUCUCGGGGAGUGUUAUAGCCCUGGGUGGAAUGCGACCAGCCUGGACUGAGGAUCUCGCUUCGGCAAGGAUGCUGGCGUAAUGGUUGUAAGCCGCCCGUCUUGAAACACGGACCAAGGAGUCUAACAUCUAUGCGAGUGUUUGGGUGUCAAACCCAUACGCGUAAUGAAAGUGAACGGAGGUGGGAACCCGCAAGGGCGCACCAUCGGCCGAUCCUGAUGUCUUCGGAUGGAUUUGAGCAAGAGCAUAGCUGUUGGGACCCGAAAGAUGGUGAACUAUGCCUGAAUAGGGUGAAGCCAGAGGAAACUCUGGUGGAGGCUCGCAGCGGUUCUGACGUGCAAAUCGAUCGUCAAAUUUGGGUAUAGGGGCGAAAGACUAAUCGAACCAUCU
rnacentral:rRNA from 1 species